rnacentral:rRNA from 1 species
GACGAACGCUGGCGGCAUGCCUAAUACAUGCAAGUCGAGCGAACAGAUGAAGUGCUUGCACUUCUGACGUUAGCGGCGAACGGGUGAGUAACACGUAAGGAAUCUACCUAUAAGCGGGGGAUAACAUUCGGAAACGGGUGCUAAUACCGCAUAAUAUCUUCUUCCGCAUGGAAGAAGAUUGAAAGACGGCUCUGCUGUCACUUAUAGAUGACCUUGCGGUGCAUUAGUUAGUUGGUGGGGUAACGGCCUACCAAGACGAUGAUGCAUAGCCGACCUGAGAGGGUGAUCGGCCACAUUGGGACUGCGACACGGCCCAAACUCCUACGGGAGGCAGCAGUAGGGAAUCUUCCGCAAUGGGCAAAAGCCUGACGGAGCAAUGCCGCGUGAGUGAAGAAGGCCUUCGGGUCGUAAAACUCUGUUAUAAGAGAAGAACAAAUUGUAGAGUAACUGCUACAGUCUUGACGGUAUCUUAUCAGAAAGCCACGGCUAACUACGUGCCAGCCGCCGCGGUAA